GUCGGGAACUCAAAGGAGACUGCCGGUGAUAAACCGGAGGAGGGUGGGGAUGACGUCAAGUCAUCAUGGCCCUUACGAGUAGGGCUACACACGUGCUACAAUGGCAUAUACAAAGAGAAGCGAACUCGCGAGAGCAAGCGGACCUCAUAAAGUAUGUCGUAGUCCGGAUUGGAGUCUGCAACUCGACUCCAUGAAGUCGGAAUCGCUAGUAAUCGUAGAUCAGAAUGCUACGGUGAAUACGUUCCCGGGCCUU
rnacentral:rRNA from 1 species